AUUGAACGCUGGCGGCGUGCCUUACACAUGCAAGUCGAACGGCAGCACGGGAGCUUGCUCCUGGUGGCGAGUGGCGAACGGGUGAGUAAUACAUCGGAACGUACCCUGAAGUGGGGAGUAACGUAGCGAAAGUUACGCUAAUACCGCAUAUUCUGUGAGCAGGAAAGAAGGGGGAGUCGCAAGACCUCUUGCUUAGGAGCGGCCGAUGUCGGAUUAGCUAGUUGGUGAGGUAAAGGCUCACCAAGGCGACGAUCCGUAGCGGGUCGUGAGAGGAUGAUCCGCCACACUGGGACUGAGACACGGCCCAGACUCCUACGGGAGGCAGCAGUGGGGGAAUUUUGGACAAUGGGCGCAAGCCUGAUCCAGCCAUGCCGCGUGAGUGAAGAA
rnacentral:rRNA from 1 species